AAAGGGCGUUAAUCGGUGUCAUAAACUUGGACGAUUUAUGUGUUUGUUUAUUUUUCAACAACGUACAACGUACCAAAGAAUUUUUCUUUUUGGAUUUUCAUUAUGAGCUAGAGGAAAAGUCUCGGGCGACAAUGGCGAUGAGAAAUUUGGUGGAUGGGGAGUGUGGUGGGACCAACUCCCUGAUGAAACUGACUUCCCACUACACACAGGACAAAGAAUAAAUAUGGCACCACAGACAUUUCACAUGGGAGGUCUUCUCCAGGAAAUGAGAGAAAUAGAAGAGCAGGAAUAUAAACAUGCCCCACAAAGAGCCCCAGGUAUUCUUGAGUUAGCAUCCAAUGAAAAAUGGGCAGAUGAGUUCCUGACAACAGCGAAAGAACCUAUGGGGCCUGAUUGGUCAGGAGAGUUCCUAGAUCAGAAGUCAGGUCAUGGACCACCUCACCCUGCGGGGGAGCUGAGAUGGGCGGAGGAGUACCUGGAUCACACAGAGCACCGGCCAUGGACAGAGGAGUAUGAUAAGGAGGUGUUGGAUGAUACAAAAUGGAUAGAUGAAUACUCUACCCAGGAUGAUGAUCUUGCCAAAACUGCUAAAGAUUUUUUAAGUAAUGUCACUGACCCAAAAUUGGCCAACUCUGAGUUUCUGAAGUUUGUGAAGAAAAUUGGGGAUGGGGAAAUUGUUAUCAAAGAUAAUGAAGUGAUAGAGAGAUCCCCUGAUGACAAAGCGGAAGCCUGGGCCCAGGAAUUCUCUCAAGCCCCCCAGUUGGAACCUGGGCACUCACUUGUUGAUAAAUGGGAGGAGGAGUUUGCUGAAAUGACAGGAAACCGUGAAACUUCAGAUGAGGAAUUCUGGGAAAAAUUACAGAAACAUUGGGAAGAUGUAGACAAGACACGAGAUGAUGGUCAUCCUUGGUUGACAGAGUUUGAGGAAUCAGACCCUUAUAAGGUUUAUGAAUUUGAAGAUGAGAAUCCAUUAAUUGAUCACCCUGAUCCAUUCCAAGCUGGUCUUGAUAAACUCAAAGAGGGAGACAUUCCAAACGCUGUGCUCCUGUUUGAAGCAGCAGUGCAGAAGGAUAGUCAACAUGCACAGGCCUGGCAGUACUUGGGCACAACACAGGCUGAAAACGAGCAGGAACCAGCAGCAAUAGCUGCACUUAAGAAGUGCUUGGAGCUGGACAGCAAUAAUUUGAUGGCCCUGAUGUCUCUGGCCACCAGCUACACCAACGAAUCCCUGGCAGCUCAUGCAUGUCACGUACUCAAAUCCUGGCUCAAGAAGAACCCGGCCUAUGCCCACUUGGUUCCUGGAGAACUGAGUGCAGCACCAAAAAUUACCUCUUAUAUCUCAAGCACUGAGCACACAGAAGUGAAAGACCUCUUUAUCGAAGCUGCACGACUGAUGAAAAAUGGUGAAAUUGAUGCUGAUGUACAGAGUGGGUUGGGAGUAUUAUUUAAUUUGAGUGGAGAGUAUGACAAAGCUGUGGAUUGCUUCUCAGCAGCACUUCAGGUCAAACCUCAGGAUGCCUUGUUGUGGAACAAACUUGGCGCCACUCUAGCAAAUGGUAACCGCAGUGAGGAGGCUGUGGAGGCCUACCACCACGCCCUGCAGAUCUCCCCAGGAUAUAUCCGCUCGCGGUACAACCUGGGCAUUGCUUGCAUCAACCUUGGUGUUCAUAAAGAAGCAGUGGAGCACUUCCUGACAGCAUUGAAUAUGCAGCGGAAAAGUCAACAAGGAAUGAAAGAUCCACAAGUUGUUAUGUCCAAGAACAUUUGGAGCACACUGCGAAUGGCGGUAUCAUUGUUAGGGAGACCAGACCUGUAUGACGCCUGUGAUAAUCAAGACUUAGACAGACUUAAUUCAGAGUUUGGCAUGAAUUCCUGAUACAGGUCUCCAUGUGGGAACCAGUUUACUCCAGGAUCAGGAACCAAUCCCACUCUGUCUGCCCACCUAUCACCCACAGGCACAGAGCCACGUAGCACCUCAUCCCCACGGUAUGACUUUGAUGAUGCCUUGCCGGGAUGUUUGAGGAUGAUGUUGUUUGAUUAGUGAUUAUACUGAUAUUAUGCUAAACAAUGGUAAUUAUCAUGGCAUAGAAGAUUUUAAUGGAUGCUCAUAUUUUAUGUACCAUAUUACAUGAAUGUUCUAAAUAUCAUGUAUGAAAUUUUUUUACAUUGAUUUAAGGAAAGCAUUUGAUACUAUUACAUGUGUACUUUUCUGUGAUACUCUCUUCCAAGAGGAAAAAAAAUUGAAAUAAAUAAGUGAUUUU
rnacentral:misc_RNA from 1 species